GGCCGCUGCGCCGUGACAGGUGGCGGCGGCCCGAGGCGGCCCCGGGGCAGCGGCCGGCAGGACCGUUCAUCGCCCGUUCGUAGCCGCCCUCCUCGCCCAGCGGCGCACCUGCCCCGCCCGCCCCUACCUUGUUGAGGUGGGGGUCGCGGAGCACAUCGUAGCCCCUCUUCAUGGUGCUGGAGCAGAGAUUCCCCUGCAGCCUGUGGUGCGGAUCAUGGUGAGGCAGCUGCCCCUCAGUGGAGGCCCACGGUGGAGCAAAUAUCCACAUUGGAAACCGGGAUGCCAUGGAGCAGAGGGAUAUCUGAAGGAGGCUGUGACCCCGUGGGAAGCCUGUGCUGGAGCAGGCUCCUGGCAGGACCUGUGGCCUCAUGGAGCAAGGAACCCACCCUGAAAGGGGUUUUCUGGCCCCAUAAGGGGACCCACUCUGGGACAGUAUGUCCCUUAAAGGCUGAACCCUGUGGAAGGGGACCCACACUGAGCACUUAAUGAAGAACUGCAGCCUGUGGGGAGGAUCGACAUUGGAGAAGUUCAUGCAGGACUGUCUCCUGUGGGAGGGACCCUGUGCUGGAGCAGGGACCCUGUGCAGGAGUCCACCCCUGAGGAGGAAGGACUGGCAGAAAAAUGUGGGGAACUGUCUGAAACCCCCAUUCCCUGUCCCCUUGUUCUGUUGGAGGUGAACAGGUGGGGAAUUGACAAAUGAAGAUGAGCCUGGGAUGAUGUAGGGGUGGAGGCAAGGUGGAUUUUAGAUUUGUUCUUAUUUUUCAUUAUACUACACUGAUUUGAUUGACAAUAAACUAAAUUAAUGUCCCUAGGUUGAA